rfam:Blastocystis hominis, Singapore isolate B (sub-type 7) whole genome shotgun sequence assembly, scaffold_32
GAGUGUAUAGCUUAAUUGGAUAAAGCAAUCGACUUUUAAUCGAUGGAUUCGGGGUUCAAUUCCUCGUACACUUA